ACGUUGCCGCCUCCAUGAAACUGAUGGCUGGUGACUUUUCAGUCACCAGCCU
rnacentral:sRNA from 1 species